rnacentral:misc_RNA from 1 species
AAGUCGUAACAAGGUUUCCGUAGGUGAACCUGCGGAAGGAUCAUUAACACGUAUCCAACGUUAAACCCAGCAAUUCCUGGUAAAUCAUUGUCGGAAAUAGAUUUUGAGUCAGGAAAAACCGAACAACUGUUAACAAUGGAUAUCUUGGUUCUC